AUUGAACGCUGGCGGCAUGCCUUACGCAUGCAAGUCGAACGGUAACAGGUCUUCGGAUGCUGACGAGUGGCGAACGGGUGAGUAAUACAUCGGAACGUGCCUAGUAGUGGGGGAUAACUACUCGAAAGAGUGGCUAAUACCGCAUGAGAUCUACGGAUAAAAGCAGGGGAUCGCAAGACCUUGUGCUACUAGAGCGGCCGAUGGCAGAUUAGGUAGUUGGUGGGAUAAAAGCUUACCAAGCCGACGAUCUGUAGCUGGUCUGAGAGGACGAUCAGCCACACUGGGACUGAGACACGGCCCAGACUCCUACGGGAGGCAGCAGUGGGGAAUUUUGGACAAUGGGCGAAAGCCUGAUCCAGCAAUGCCGCGUGCAGGAUGAAGGCCUUCGGGUUGUAAACUGCUUUUGUACGGAACGAAAAGCCCCGGGUUAAUACCCUGGGGUCAUGACGGUACCGUAAGAAUAAGCACCGGCUAACUACGUGCCAGCCGCUGCCGUAA
rnacentral:rRNA from 1 species